AUUUCAAAAUUAAAUUUAAAAACUCAAUAUAUGAGUUUAACAAUAGGUUGGACACUAUUGAAUACAAGACUUGUGAACUGGAAACAUAUCAAUGAAAAAUAUACAAAGUGAAGCAUGGAAGAAAAAAAGAAAGAGAAAAAAUAAGAAACAAAUGUAAGAGACAUACAGGACAAGUAUGAAAGGUCUACCAUGUAAAACUGAAGUUUCAGAGGGCAAGGAGAAAGAAAUAGAGCAGAAGCAAUAUUCAAAGGGAUAAUGGUUGGGAAUUUUCUAAAGCAGAUAAAAUACAUUUAAUCCACUGGUUAAGAAGCUCAGCAAACCCUCAAGCAGGAUAAGUAUAGAGAAAACCACAAUUAUGCAACUCAGAAUAAAACUGCUGAACCAAAGACAGAGAAGAUGGAAAAACCAGCCAGAAGAAAAAAGACACAUUAUCUACAAAAGAGCAACAAUGAGACUGGCAGCUGUCUCUAAUAGCAACAAAAGAAGCCAGAAGAUAAUGGAAUGCUAUCUCUAGAGUACUGAAAGAAACUAAAGGCCAACGUGUGAAAAACAAUCUUCAGAAAUGAACGUUAAAUGAUGACAUUUUCAAACAAACAAGCAAGCAACAAAAAGAAGCAAAAAGUAAACAAAAUACCAAAAUUCACAUAAUUUAUUGCUAGGAGUUUUACACUGAAAUGCUGAAGGGAUUUCUACUAGCAAAAGUAAAAAUGAUCUCAUUUGAAAGGAUGGAAAUUCAAGGAGGGAAUGAAGAAUACUGGAUGGGUAAAUGUGUUGGUAACUAUAAAUGAAUACUGACUACACAAAAUUAUGUUGAAUAACUGAAAGAUGAAAACACAAUCACUUGAAGGAGAAAUGUAUGGUCAAACUGCAUGCAGGAAAAACUUCUAUAAAAGAGUUACUUCAUGCUCUGGGUUGGCAGAUACAAUGAGCAGGAGUGCAUCAGAAGUAAUCAAGAAGGUGAUUAGUUGGUGUACUUCAGCAGGAGCAACCAGAUGAAUUGACUUCUCUAUAUCCCCGUAUUAGCCACAAGCUAGGCAGCAGCCUGCAGGUGGGAGCAAUGCCCAUGCAUGUAUGGAUCAGUGUGCUACAUACAGUCACGUUGACAGCAUGAACCUUCGAUGUGAUGUGAGGAAAAUGGCAUUCUACCUCUGUGUUCUUCCUCCCCAAAAUUUGUAACCACCAUCUAAUCAUGAGGAAAACAUCAUACAAGUCCAAGUUGAGGAAGAUUCUACAAAAUGCCUGAUUAAUAUUCAUCGAAACUGUCAAGGUCAUCAAAAGCAAGGAAAGUCUGAGAAACUGCCACAGCCUAAAGACAGUCCAGGGAAACAUGAUGACUCAGUGGUAUUCUGGGUGGGUUUCUGGAACAGCAAAAGGACAACAGGUACCCUGAGCCACUAUCUAAAUUGUCUGCUUACCUUAUGAAGACACCAUAAGGAGGUAUAACGUGUGGUGAGCACAGGUGAAGAGCUAGAGGCCUGAAACUAGAUGGGGAGGGAGAAGCCAGCCAUGCCUGCAUCCAGGGCUGAACUCAGCCUUCCAGCAUCUGUGCAGAGGCAUCAGUCAAGCCACAGCUAACUGCAGGCCCAGUUAACAUUAUGUGGAACAUCCCAGUCAUCCCAGAUCAUCCCAGCCAACCAAGAUCAUAAAAUUGUUUUCAGCUAUUAAGUUUAAAUACGUGAAAUAAGGAGAUAAAAAUACUGACUUGGACUCUGUCUGAAUGAAAGGAUUAGUAGAUUAGAUUAGUGAUUCUUAAAAGACUUUCUUGGAUGCAUAUAAGUGUCCACAAAAUAAGAGUAUGAUGGUUUCCAGGUACAAAUAAGAUGGAAAACUAUUUUGUGAAUCAGAAUUAGAUUGGUUUAUUUACUGUAGAACUUCUAAGAGGCUUUAACAUGUACAAUUUAAUUAUCAUAAGCCUUAUGAAAACUCCAGGAGGACAGAAGAGUUGCCUGUGACUUUUUUUAAAGUGUUUAUUCACAUCCCAAGGAAGGAUUCCCAGAAGAGAUGAUGUCUAAGCAGUGUCCCAACCAUGAAAUAAAGUCUCCUAGCUACUGGACAAGAUCAUCUUGAAGCUUAUUUCCAGCUCCAAAUGUUAUUAUUUUCCUCAAACCCAUUAUAAAAUGGCCUCUCUUAACACUAUGAGAUCUGUAAUACAAGAAGUAGAACAAACACAUGAAGUUCCUGUUGGAAAUUCAAACUUCUCAUACAGCCUUCACUGAGUUCUACUCAUUAUGGAUAAAGGCUUCUGCUUUGAGUCACCUAAGUACUUUUGACCUCCAACUUAAUCAAUGCCUUGAAGUGAAAAUACAGUGUCAGGCAGUCCCUAUUCAUGACGCAAACAAACCAACCAACUCAUAUCAUGACUUAAUGGUGUGAGACCUCAGUAAAAACUUUAUAUGAACUAAA
rnacentral:lncRNA from 1 species